UACGUAGGGCGCAAGCGUUGUCCGGAAUUAUUGGGCGUAAAGAGCUCGUAGGCGGUUUGUCACGUCGGAUGUGAAAGCCCGGGGCUUAACCCCGGGUCUGCAUUCGAUACGGGCAGACUGGAGUGUGGUAGGGGAGAUCGGAAUUCCUGGUGUAGCGGUGAAAUGCGCAGAUAUCAGGAGGAACACCGGUGGCGAAGGCGGGUCUCUGGGCCGAUACUGACGCUGAGGAGCGAAAGCGUGGGGAGCGAACAGG
rnacentral:rRNA from 1 species